ensembl:lncRNA
CCCAAGCAAAAGAAGGCAGGUGGUAAAUAGCUCCCCAAAGAUACUUUGCAUUCUGCCAUAAAUGUCCUGUUUCUUGAUCCAGCCUAAGACAUUUGCAGAGAUGACUCCUUUUUGCAUGCUGGAAAAGCAUCAGGCUUCAUUUUCACAAACAGGUGAUGAAGAAAUGUUUGCAACAAAUAAUGAAGAAUGUCAAUACCAUACUUCACCAUGGUUAAUCCUUAAUGAAUGGAGUAUCUUGAAUUUGAGUACCACGACAGCAAAGUCCAAAACAGAUUAGGUGCUAUAAUUGUAUGAAGGCAUGUGGGAAAACUACCUCAAACUUCAUACUGUCCUGCACAACCAUGAAGAAGCAGAUCUGAUGCUAAACAUUCUAGAGAAGUAGAUAUAAACUGGGAAUACCAGAACUAGAACCAGGAUAAUCCAGAGGAUAUGAUCAACUGGUAUUUGUGGCAUGCUUCAAGACAUUGGUUUCCUAACCUAGGAGACUAGGAACUUGUCAGGACACUUGACAGCAGUCAUCCAGCAGUGCUUGAUUAUGAUUAAUCUGAAAAUGGGGGGAAGAUAAUUGAAAGGAAUACUGAAGAGUGUGAAAUAAUGUAAUAUCAUUAUCUAUGAAACGAGGGUGUGUCUAGAGGAAACUUGAAUCUGGAAACCAGAAACCUCCUGAAAUUUAGAUAGUAAUUGGAUUUAUAUAUAACUCUAUUCAAAAAUUUCUAUACAUAUAACCUAUUUUAAAAGUGCUAUUAAUUGGUGGUAUUUAAGAAAAUUAUUUCCAUUCAUUUAUAAGACAGAAUGGUUUCCUUGCUUCUGUGAUACUCUCUGAAAGACAAAAAAAGCAUUUGAAAAAGAUGCAGAUUAUGAAUCAACACCUGCUGCCAAAGAGACUGAGGAUAAGAAUUCUAUUACAUGUUCAUGAAAAUCAUGGCAUCUGUCUUACUUUCUUGUUCCAUAGCAUACAGGAGUAAUUUUUUUCUUCUUUCUGGAAAACACAUAGCUGCCAGAAGAUUCCACUAGACUUAACUAACCAUAAUUCAGUAUCAGGUAACAUUUCAUUUUAACUGCAGCAGAGAGAAACACAAAUAGACAUGCAGGUCUAGAAUAAUGUGAAGUGUGGUUGCAAGCAUAAUCAUUGUGUUUUUAACACUGAUUAUUGUAGAGGGAAAUGUCUUUUCUGAAAUUGUGUUUGUAUGUUCCUUAGUCUUGAAAUGUCACUUGAUUUCAGUCUCAGUGGAAUAACACUUGAAGCCUUCACAAAUGUAAAAUGAACAAGAUCAUCAAUAUUUUGUACCACUCUACCAUCUUGAAUCAAAUAUGACAUAUUUCAUUUUUUUCACUGACAAUAUAUUUUCAUGGGAUUUUUUAAGUUUCCCUCUACUGGACCUUAUCAGAUAUAUUCUCAUCAGUACUUUCUUUAGCAGAAGAUGCCAGAACAGCAAGGAAAAGAAUCAGCUCACUAGAUUCAAAAAUGAGUGACUGUUGCAGACCUCUCAUCUUUUCAUUUUACUCUCUUAAGACCAUAUGCCAAAGUUUCUUUGCUUUUAGUUUGUCAGUGGAAAUAGAACUUAUCCAUUGUGAUGAAUGAUGCAGUAACUUUAAAGUUCAGAGUUUCAAGUAGAAGUAAUGCAUUUCUAAAAUAAAAUAGAUCAUAUGAGG